GUAAGCGCGCGCAGGCGGCUAUUUAAGUUGGAUGUGAAAGCCUAGGCUGCCGUAUAACUGCAUCCAAAACUAUUUAGCUAGAGGGGGAGAGGAAGAUGGAAUUAGUUGUGUAGGGGUAAAAUCCGUAGAGAUAACUAGGAAUACCAAAAGCGAAGGCAAUCUUCUGGAACACUACUGACGCUGAGGCGCGAAAGCGUGGGGAGCAAACAGGAUUAGAUACCCUGGUAGUCCACGCAGUAAACGAUGAAUGUUAGUCGUCGGGUAGCUAGUCUAUUCGGUGAUGCAGCUAACGCAUUAAACAUUCCGCCUGGGGAGUACGGUCGUAAGAUUAAAACUCAAAGGAAUAGACGGGGACCCGCACAAGUGGUGGAGCAUGUGGUUUAAUUCGAAGAUACGCGAAGAACCUUACCUAGCCUUGACAUAUAUUAGAACUCCGCAGAGAUGCAGAGGUGCCUUCGGGAGCUUUUAUACAGGUGCUGCACGGCUGUCGUCAGCUCGUGUCGUGAGAUGUUGGGUUAAGUCCCGCAACGAGCGCAACCCUCGUCACUAGUUACUAACGGUUCGGCCGAGGACUCUAGUGAGACUGCCUUCGUAAGGAGGAGGAAGGUGAGGACGACGUCAAGUCAUCAUGGCCCUUACGGCUAGGGCAACACACGUGCUACAAUGGUUGGGACAAUGAGACGCAAUACCGCGAGGUGGAGCAAAUCUAUAAACCCAAUCUCAGUUCGGAUUGUUCUCUGCAACUCGAGAACAUGAAGCUGGAAUCACUAGUAAUCGUAGAUCAGCUAUGCUACGGUGAAUACGUU
rnacentral:rRNA from 1 species